CCUACGGGAGGCAGCAGUGGGGAAUAUUGCACAAUGGGGGAAACCCUGAUGCAGCGACGCCGCGUGAGUGAGGAAGUUUUUCGGUACGUAAAGCUCUAUCAGCAGGGAAGAAAAUGACGGUACCUGACCAAGAAGCCCCGGCUAACUACGUGCCAGCAGCCGCGGUAAUACGUAGGGGGCAAGCGUUAGCCGGAUUUACUGGGGGGAAAGGGAGCGUAGACGGCUAAUCAAGUCAGAAGUGAAAACCCAGGGCUCAACGUUGGGACUGCUUUUGAAACUGAGUAGCUAGAGUGCAGGAGAGGUAAGCGGAAUUCCUAGUGUAGCGGUGAAAUGCGUAGAUAUUAGGAGGAACACCAGUGGCGAAGGCGGCUUACUGGACUGUAACUGACGUUGAGGCGCGAAAGCGUGGGGAGCAAACAGGAUUAGAUACCCGAGUAGUC
rnacentral:rRNA from 1 species